rfam:Myotis brandtii contig185418, whole genome shotgun sequence.
GCUGGUGUGGUUCAGCAGUUAGAAUGUCAGCCUGCUGACUGAAGGGUCCUGGGUUUGAUUCCCAGGCAAGGGCA